rnacentral:rRNA from 1 species
UCCGUAGGGUGCAAGCGUUGUCCGGAAUUAUUGGGCGUAAAGAGCUCGUAGGCGGUUUGUCGCGUCUGCCGUGAAAGUCCGGGGCUCAACUCCGGAUCUGCGGUGGGUACGGGCAGACUAGAGUGAUGUAGGGGAGACUGGAAUUCCUGGUGUAGCGGUGAAAUGCGCAGAUAUCAGGAGGAACACCGAUGGCGAAGGCAGGUCUCUGGGCAUUAACUGACGCUGAGGAGCGAAAGCAUGGGGAGCGAACAGG